GACAGAGGGUGCAAACGUUGUUCGGAUUUACUGGGCGUAAAGCGCACGUAGGCGGCUUUGCAAGUCCCAUGUGAAAUCCCACGGCUUAACCGUGGAAGUGCAUGGGAAACUGCAGACUUGAGUACUUAAGAGGAUCGCGGAAUUCCCGGUGUAGAGGUGAAAUUCGUAGAUAUCGGGAGGAACACCAGUGGCGAAGGCGGCGAUCUGGGAAGAUACUGACGCUGAGGUGCGAAAGCGUGGGGAGCAAACAGG
rnacentral:rRNA from 1 species